CGACUCCGGCUGCAGGAAGACUUUGUCCGGACUCCUACGGGAGCCGGACUUCGUCCCCGACUUCUACUGCAGGUGAACUUCGUCCGGACUCCUAUGGGAGUCAGACUUCACCCCCGACGCCAAUUGCAAGUGAACUGCGUCCAGACUCCUACGAGAGCCGGACUCCGAGCUCCUCUCAGAAGGGUAGCUAGCCACCUCUCUCCGCC
rnacentral:lncRNA from 1 species